AGUGAACGCUGGCGGUAGGCCUAACACAUGCAAGUCGAACGGCAGCACAGUAAGAGCUUGCUCUUACGGGUGGCGAGUGGCGGACGGGUGAGGAAUACAUCGGAAUCUACUUUUUCGUGGGGGAUAACGUAGGGAAACUUACGCUAAUACCGCAUACGACCUACGGGUGAAAGCAGGGGAUCUUCGGACCUUGCGCGAUUGAAUGAGCCGAUGUCGGAUUAGCUAGUUGGCGGGGUAAAGGCCCACCAAGGCGACGAUCCGUAGCUGGUCUGAGAGGAUGAUCAGCCACACUGGAACUGAGACACGGUCCAGACUCCUACGGGAGGCAGCAGUGGGGAAUAUUGGACAAUGGGCGCAAGCCUGAUCCAGCCAUACCGCGUGGGUGAAGAAGGCCUUCGGGUUGUAAAGCCCUUUUGUUGGGAAAGAAAAGCAGCAGAUUAAUCCACCGAUGUUCUGACGGUACCCAAAGAAUAAGCACCGGCUAACUUCGUG
rnacentral:rRNA from 1 species